UACAGAGGGUGCGGGCGUUAAUCGGAAUUACUGGGCGUAAAGCGUGCGUAGACGGUAGCGUAAGUCGGGUGUGAAAGCCCCGGGCUCAACCUGGGAAUUGCAUUCGAGACUGCUCUGCUAGGGUGCGGAAGAGGGAAGCGGAAUUUCCGGUGUAGCGGUGAAAUGCGUAGAUAUCGGAAGGAACACCAGUGGCGAAAGCGGCUUCCUGGUCCAGCACCGACGUUCAGGCACGAAAGCGUGGGGAGCAAACAGG
rnacentral:rRNA from 1 species